rnacentral:rRNA from 1 species
CCCUUAGAUGUUCGGAGCUGCACGCGCGCUACACUGAAGGAAGCAGCGUGUUAGUGUACCUGGUUUGCGAAAAUCGGGUAAUCCGGUGAAUGUCCUUCGUGAUUGGGAUAGGCGCUUGUAAUUAUUCGCCUUGAACGAGGAAUACCUAGUAAGUGCGAGUCAUCAGCUUGCGCUGACUACGUCCCUGCCCCUUGUACACACCGCCCGUCGCACCUACCGAUUGAAUGGUCCGGUGAAAUCUCGGGACGGCGGCUUGGUCGCUUGCGUCCGACUGCUGAAACUUGAUUAAACCAUAUCAUUUAGAGGAAGGUGAANUCGUANCA